rnacentral:rRNA from 1 species
GACGAACGCUGGCGGCGUGCUUAACACAUGCAAGUCGAACGGAAAGGCCUGCUUUCCCUUGUGGAUUGCGGGUACUCGAGUGGCGAACGGGUGAGUAACACGUGAGUGAUCUGCCCCCAACUUGGGUAUAAGCCUGGGAAACUGGGUCUAAUUCCCGAUAGGACUGCAGGGUGGUGCCUGUGGUGGAAAACGAUUUUCUAGUGGUUGGGGAUGAGCUCGCGGCCUAUCAGCUUGUUGGUGGGGUAAUGGCCUACCAAGGCGGCGACGGGUAGCCGGCCUGAGAGGGUGGACGGCCACAUUGGGACUGAGAUACGGCCCAGACUCCUACGGGAGGCAGCAGGGGGGAAUAUUGCACAAUGGGCGGAAGCCUGAGGCAGCGACGCCGCGUGGGGGAUGACGGCCUUCGGGUUGUAAACUCCUUUCGACCGCGAGGAAGCCACCUGGUUGGAAGGGUGGUGACGGUAGUGGUAGAAGAAGCACCGGCUAACUACGUG